AGUGAACGCUGGCGGUAGGCCUAACACAUGCAAGUCGAACGGCAGCACAGUAAGAGCUUGCUCUUACGGGUGGCGAGUGGCGGACGGGUGAGGAAUACAUCGGAAUCUACUUUUUCGGGGGGGAUAACGUAGGGAAACUUACGCUAAUACCGCAUACGACCUACGGGUGAAAGCAGGGGAUCUUCGGACCUUGCGCGAUUGAAUGAGCCGAUGUCGGAUUAGCUAGUUGGCGGGGUAAAGGCCCACCAAGGCGACGAUCCGUAGCUGGUCUGAGAGGAUGAUCCGCCACCCUGGAACUGAGACACGGUCCCGACUCCUACGGGAGGCCGCAGUGGGGAAUAUUGGACAAUGGGCGCAAGCCUAAUCCAGCCAUACCGCGUGGGUGAAGAAGGCCUUCGGGUUGUAAAGCCCUUUUGUUGGGAAAGAAAAGCAGCAGGUUAAUCCCCCGCUGUUCUGACGGUACCCAAAGAAUAAGCACCGGCUAACUUCGUG
rnacentral:rRNA from 1 species